GUCGAGAAUCUUUCACAAUGGGGGCAACCCUGAUGGAGCGACGCCGCGUGGAGGAUAAGGUCUUCGGAUUGUAAACUCCUGUCAUGCGUGAACAAGGUUGCUUGGUUAAUACCUGGGCAAAUUGAUGGUAACGCAAGAGGAAGAGACGGCUAACUCUGUGCCAGCAGCCGCGGUAAUACAGAGGUCUCAAGCGUUGUUCGGAAUCACUGGGCGUAAAGGGUGCGUAGGUGGCGUGGUAAGUCAGAUGUGAAAGCCCGGGGCUCAACCUCGGAACUGCACCCGAUACUGUCAUGCUAGAGUACUGGAGAGGUGACUAGAAUUCUCGGUGUAGCAGUGAAAUGCGUAGAUAUCGAGAGGAAUACCAAAGGCGUAGGCAGGUCACUGGACAGUUACUGACACUGAGGCACGAAGGCCAGGGGAGCGAACGGGAUUAGAUACCCCGGUAGUCC
rnacentral:rRNA from 1 species